rnacentral:rRNA from 1 species
AUUGAACGCUGGCGGCAGGCUUAACACAUGCAAGUCGAGCGGGGGGAGGUAGCUUGCUACCUAACCUAGCGGCGGACGGGUGAGUAAUGCUUAGGAAUCUGCCUAUUAGUGGGGGACAACAUUUUGAAAGGGAUGCUAAUACCGCAUACGCCCUAAGGGGGAAAGCAGGGGAUCUUCGGACCUUGCGCUAAUAGAUGAGCCUAAGUCGGAUUAGCUAGUUGGUGGGGUAAAGGCCUACCAAGGCGACGAUCUGUAGCGGGUCUGAGAGAGAUGAUCCGCCACACUGGGACUGAGACACGGCCCAGACUCCUACGGGAGGCAGCAGUGGGGAAUAUUGGACAAUGGGGGAACCCUGAUCCAGCCAUGCCGCGUGUGUGAAGAAGGCCUUUUGGUUGUAAAGCACUUUAAGCGGGGAGGAGGCUACCGAGAUUAAUACUCUUGGAUAGUGGACGUUACUCGCAGAAUAAGCACCGGCUAACUCUGUGCCAGCAGCCGCCGUAAUAC